AGGACGAACGCUGGCGGCGUGCUUAACACAUGCAAGUCGAACGGAAAGGCCCUUUCGGGGGUGCUCGAGUGGCGAACGGGUGAGUAACACGUGGGUGAUCUGCCCUGCACUUUGGGAUAAGCCUGGGAAACUGGGUCUAAUACCGAAUACACCCUGCUGGUCGCAUGGCCUGGUGGGGGAAAGCUUUUGCGGUGUGGGAUGGGCCCGCGGCCUAUCAGCUUGUUGGUGGGGUGAUGGCCUACCAAGGCGACGACGGGUAGCCGGCCUGAGAGGGUGUCCGGCCACACUGGGACUGAGACACGGCCCAGACUCCUACGGGAGGCAGCAGUGGGGAAUAUUGCACAAUGGGCGCAAGCCUGAUGCAGCAACGCCGCGUGAGGGACGACGGCCUUCGGGUUGUAAACCUCUUUAGUAGGAAGAAGCGAAGUGACGGUACCUGCAGAAAAGCACCGGCUAACUACGUGCCAGCAGCCGC
rnacentral:rRNA from 1 species